rnacentral:rRNA from 1 species
AUUGAACGCUGGCGGCAUGCUUUACACAUGCAAGUCGAACGGUAACAGGCCUUCGGGUGCUUCCGAGGGGUGGACGGUUGAGUAAUGCAUCGGAACGUGCCCGGAUGUGGGUUAUAACGCAGCGAAACCUGUGCUAAUACCGCCUGUGAUCGCAGGAUGAAAGCGGGGGACAAGGGGGCAUCGUUUGGCCUCGCGCCUUUGAAUGGGCCGAUGUCGGAUUAGGUAGUUGGGGGGGUAAAGGCCUACCAAGCCGACGAUCUGUAGCUGGUCUGAGAGGACGACCGGCAACACUGGAACUGGGAAACGGCCAAGACUCCUACGGGAGCCAGCAGUGGGAAAUUUUGGACAAGGGGGGAAGGCCUGACCAAGCAAUGCGGCGUGGGGGAAGAAGGCUUUCGGGUUGUAAACCGCUUUUGUGCGGAACGAAAAGACUAUGGCUAAUCCCCGGGGUUGAGGACGGUACCGAAAGAAUAAGCACCGGUUAACUACGG